rnacentral:misc_RNA from 1 species
GAUGAAGAACGUAGCGAAAUGCGAUACGUAAUGUGAAUUGCAAAUUCAGUGAAUCAUCGAGUCUUUGAACGCACAUUGCGCCCCCUGGUAUUCCGGGGGGCAUGCCUGUCCGAGCGUCAUUGCUGCCCUCAAGCACGGCUUGUGCGUUGGGCCCCGUCCUCCGAUUCCGGGGGACGGGCCCGAAAGGUAGCGGCGGCACCGCGUCCGGUCCUCGAGCGUAUGGGGCUUUGUCACCCGCUCUGUAGGCCCGGCCGGCGCUUGCCGAUCAACCCAAAUUUUUAUCCAGGUUGACCUCGGAUCAGGUAGGGAUACCCGCUGAACUUAAGCAUAUCAAUAAGCGGAGGA